rnacentral:rRNA from 1 species
AUGCAAGUCGAACGAACCUCCGGGGCAACUCGGAGGUGAGUGGCGAAAGGGGCAGUAAGGCAUGGGUAACGUACCCCCUGGUCUGGGAUAGCCUCGGGAAACUGAGGGUAAUACCAGGUAACGUGGAGGCGUCGCAUGGCGCCAUCACCAGAGGUCAGCCGCCGGGGGAGCGGCCCAUGUAGUAUUAGCUUGUUGGCGGGGUAACGGCCCACCAAGGCAAAGAUGCUUAGCGGGUGUGAGAGCACGACCCGCGCCACUGGCACUGAGACACUGGCCAGACUCCUACGGGAGGCUGCAGUCGAGGAUCUUCGGCAAUGGGCGCAAGCCUGACCGAGCGACGCCGCGUGUGCGAUGAAGGCCUUCGGGUUGUAAAGCACUUUGGCGGGGGAGGAAAGCCCGAAAGGGUCUGACCUAUCCCGAGAACAAGCACGGGCUAAGUUCGUGCCAGCAGCCGCGGUAAGACGAACCGUGCGAACGUUGUUCGGAAUCACUGGGCUUAAAGGGCGCGUAGGCGGACGACCAAGUCGGGGGUGAAAUCUUUCGGCUCAACCGGAAAAUAGCCUUCGAUACUGGCCGUCUGGAGGGAGGUANGGGCGUGUGGAACUUCCGGUGGAGCGGUGAAAU